rnacentral:lncRNA from 1 species
GCUGUCACUUCCGGCGGCCGCGGCGUGCACUGUCGGUCGGCGGCUAAGGAGGGGAGGCACCUGCAUCUGGGGCGCGGCGAAUCCUCGCGUGCGCCAGGCCGCCUGGGGUAGUCGCCGAGACUGCGCCGGCCAGCGGGGCCGAAACCUAAUCAGGAGCUGAGCUUUGAUGGCGGCUUCUGGAGGGACAAAGAAGGCGCAGAGCGGUGGGAGGAGGCUGCGAGAACCUAGCUCCCGCCCCAGCCGACGUGCGAGACAAAGGCCCCGGCGCGGGGCUCUUCGGAAGGCCGGGAGGUUCCUGUGACAAUGCGAGUCUGCGCCCCACGCUCCCGCACCGUGAUGCCGAGGCCAAAUGGCUAGAGUGGGCCCAGGCAUCAGCAUUUCUGUUUGGCAGCCGGGCAGUUGUGGUGCACGUUUUGAGGAACUACUAAAGCCUGCCUGUGAUGAAAAAGGCAAAAGCUGACUUCACCAAAAUUACUCCCAGGGAGACUUCUGCAUUUGGCUGGAAGGACAUUUGAGUAAACCGCUGAGGCUGGUGGUUGAAACAUAAUCCUCUAAGGGAGAUCGGUUCCGAUACCCUGAGUUAGGGACGCUUGCCUGGGCAGAGCUAAGGGGAGAAUGAUCAAAAGCCAAGCUCUGUCCCCGUCAGCACGUCACCCUCCCUCACUGUAAUCCCUGACUGUUUUCUCUAAAUGAAGAAUUAUUUAGAGAAUAUAAAUUAGAAGGGCCGCCACGUCAGAAUUGCCUGAGUGGGAGCAGUCUUUCCAGCCUCGAAAAAUGUUUAAACAAUAUGCAGAUGACCUAGCACAAAUAAAGAAUGCUAGCAACCGCUGUUAUGUGUGAGCGGUGGAAUUGGGAGGGCUCUUCCCCCAAUCUUCAUCAAACAGAGUAAGGUUUAGAAUAAAAAUAAUGAAAUACAGUCUUUCAAAAAGAGCA